rnacentral:rRNA from 1 species
GGCUGCGGCAGCUACACAUGCAGUCGGACGGUAGCACAGAGGAGCUUGCUCCUCGGGUGACGAGUGGCGGACGGGUGAGUAAUGUCUGGGGAUCUGCCCGAUAGAGGGGGAUAACCACUGGAAACGGUGGCUAAUACCGCAUAACGUCGCAAGACCAAAGAGGGGGACCUUCGGGCCUCUCACUAUCGGAUGAACCCAGAUGGGAUUAGCUAGUAGGCGGGGUAACGGCCCACCUAGGCGACGAUCCCUAGCUGGUCUGAGAGGAUGACCAGCCACACUGGAACUGAGACACGGUCCAGACUCCUACGGGAGCCAACAGAGCGAAAUAACACAAGCACACAAACCUGACGUCACCCAACAGCGUGCAGAAGAAGGACCACCGGAGAAAGACUUCAGAGCGAAGGAAAACAAUAAGGAUAAUAACCUUGCUGAUUGACGACCCGCAAAAGAAGCACCGGCUAACCCCAAGCCAGCAGACGCGGUAAUACGGAGGGUACAAACGUCAAGCGGAACCAAUACGCCGAAAGCGCAACCAAGCGGCCUGUUAAGUCAAAUGUGAAAUCCCCCGGCCUAACCUGGGAACUGCAUUUGAAAACGGCAAGCUGAAGUCUCGUAGAGGGGGGUAGAAUUCCAAGUGGAACCGUGAAAUGCGUAGAAAACUGGAGAAAUAACCGUGGCGAAGGCGGCCCCCUGAACAAAGACUGACGCUCAAGUGCGAAAGCGUGGGAAAACAAAAAGAAUUAGAUACCCUGGUAAUCCACGCCGUAAACGAUGUUCGACUUGGAGGUUGUUCCCUUGAGGAAGGGCCUCCCGGAGCUAACGCGUUAAGUCGACCGCCUUGGGGAGUACGGCCGCAAGGUUAAAACUCAAAUGAAUUGACGGGGGCCCGGCAAAAGCGGGGGAGCACAUGUUGAUUCAAUGCGAUGCAACGACGAAAAACCUUACCUACUUCUUGACAUCCACGGAAUUCGGCAGAGAAUGCCUUAGUGCCUUCGGGAACCGUGAAACAGGUGCUGCAUGGCUGUCGUCAGCUCGUGUUGUGAAAUGGGGAGUUAAGUCCCGCAACGAGCGCAACCCUUAUCCUUUGUUGCCAGCGAUUCGUCGCUCAAGAAACCAAAGGAAAACGAAGAGAAAACCCAAGCAAGAUGGCGACGACAGCAAACACCGGCAUCAUGGCCCACAAGAGAAGCACUACACACGACUACAAGGGCCCAUACAAAGAGAAGCAACCCCACGAGAGAAAGCGGAAAUCAUAAAGUGCGUCGUAGUCCGGAUCGGAGUCUGCAACUCGACUCCGUGAAGUCGGAAUCGCUAGUAAUCGUGGAUCAGAAUGCCACGGUGAAUACGUUCCCGGGCCUUGUACACACCGCCCGUCACACCAUGGGAGUGGGUUGCAAAAGAAGUAGGUAGCUUAACCUCCGGAGGGCGCUACCACUUGAUCGUGCCC